UUUACGGAUUAGUCCUUCCCACAGGGCGGAGGGGCCUGUUUCACAAUGUGCUUUCACUCAGCCCAUAUCUAGAGUUGCGUGAGAGAUUUCCAUAUCUCACACACUCUUGUAAAUCACAAUUGAACAGUAGUAACUCAGAGAACGAACUCCAAACAUGUCUGCUUUCAAUUUGGGCCCUGAGGUCCUGCCAAGGCUGGGACAGGCUGAGAGACCACCCCUCAGCCCAGAUUUACUGGCCUCAUCACCCCUUAGGACUGCAGGGAACGCCUGCCGUGCUCCCGUCACUCCAGGACACACACCUCACACCUCUGCAGCUGGCGGGGGGGUUGUGUGUCAGGAGGAGUGUUUUUUUUCAAAGAUUUGAAGCCCGUAAAAACACACGCAUUAAUUGCGUGCAAGCAGGAGAAGAAACAGCUUUAAAAACUUGACAAAAUAAAGUGAAAGGAUGCAGUUUUCAUUUGCUUUAUUUCACAUCUCUGGCAAACAUUGUAGAUGUUUUGAAUUUCCUGUUGAACAUUAUUUAAGGCUGGAAGAAAUGCUGGGCUUCAUAUUGAGAAUGCUGUGCUGUGUAUUGUGAAGCUUUUGUCAAAACAGGAUUUCUUCAGUGCACUUCGCUUGCACUUGAGUAUUGGCUCACUCCAACUAUUAAAAUUUCCCAAUGUGUACAAGACAGAGAGUUAUAUUCCCUGUCUUCAGCCUCCUCCUGGCCUUACUCAGCAAUUUGACACACAAGUUCACAUUUUGAAGAUUCAAUACUCCCCAGUUCACAAACUGUCUAAUUCUGUAACGUGGAAUGCAUGUGAGUCAGUUUUGGAGCUCAUCUGAGUGGUCUCUGCAGUGUCUUCUGCGUGGUCACACCACUCGUCUGUACUGAAGACCAAUGUAGCUCUGGGGCCACAGUGAAGAAGAUGCCAGUGAUUGUGCAAAACUUGUUGAGGUCAAAGAAAGCAGCUGUAGCCCAGCUUACUGUGGUGUUUGCAGACUUAUAAUUCAGAUAACUUUGGCUGACAUACCCCUGUAGGAGGUCUUGGACCUCUGAUCUGCAGUGGUACAGUGUUUUGUUAGGAUCCCUCUAAAGGGCUGUGUACAAGUUUGGACGUAAAGGAAAAAUCUACAGGAUGAUGUCGCAAACAAGGCCUAAGGUGAGCAUUAAAUGGAAAGUUUGGUGUUUUUGAAGUGGGGUUGUAUGACUUACAUGUCACUAAUGUAGUGGCCACAGUGGACACUGGUCAGUUCAGCUCCUUUUAUAAGAAACUGCCUGGAGAGCUGGCACGCAAACUGAGCCUCAGUCUUCUACAGACCUACCGGCAAUUUCCACCGCAUCCGGAACAGAUACGAAAAGGCCGUAUCCACAGAUAGAAGCUGAUAGAACAGAUAGAAGCUGAUCGUAACCAUUCAAGUUAAUGCUUCUUUCCGUUCCGCUGCGAAUCACCAGACUCCGCAGCUCAUCGCCAGAGUAUGCCGGAUAAAUUCAGCACAGAUUAACCUGUGCUGGAAAGGAAGUUGGGCACAGACACAAAAUAAAACAUCUGUCUUCUUUUCAAAAUAAAACACUUUGUGUUUCAGGCAGAUCGUAUUUCACACCAUGCAAACGUGCGGAGAUGAACAAGUGAAAGGUUUAUAGACAGCAUUUCACCCCGAUGACACCAUGGAUGAGGACAUGUUAAUUGUUAAGUCUAGAAGAAGAUUUCCUCCUCUGGAAGGACACAGUCUACUGCUUAUAUGGUUAGCCUACGUGGUUAAUUAAUUUCAUGAUUGCACAUGAAUCCGCAGGUUCUUGUGAGUUCUCACGAUUCCUGCUGUCCGUAAUCCACUACUAAAUUCACCUCACAAACGGACCCGGUAGGAAUUGGCGCACAGCGAAAAUCACUGCCGUUCCGGAUCGGAGCCGCUCCGGAUGCGGUGGAAAUCACGAGUGUUCAGCUGCUCUCAGGAGCAAAACUGACAGGCAUCUGUUGUGGCUAGCUGACACAUAAGUGACAUACACUCACCGGCCACUUUAUUAGGUACACCUGUCCAACUGCUCGUUAACACUUAAUUUCUAAUCAGCCAAUCACAUGGCGGCAACUUAGUGCAUUUAGGCAUGUAGACAUGGUCAAGACAAUCUCCUGCAGUUCAAACCGAGCAUCAGUAUGGGGAAGAAAGGUGAUUUGAGUGACUUUGAACGUGGCAUGGUUGUUGGUGCCAGAAGGGCUGGUCUGAGUAUUUCAGAAACUGCUGAUCUACUGGGAUUUUCACGCACAACCAUCUCUAGGGUUUACAGAGAAUGGUCCGAAAAAGAAAAAAUAUCCAGUGAGCGGCAGUUCUGUGGGCGGAAAUGCCUUGUUGAUGCCAGAGGUCAGAGGAGAAUGGCCAGACUGGUUCGAGCUGAUAGAAAGGCAACAGUGACUCAAAUAACCACCCGUUACAACCAAGGUAGGCAGAAGAGCAUCUCUGAACGCACAGUACGUCGAACUUUGAGGCAGAUGGGCUACAGCAGCAGAAGACCACGCCGGGUGCCACUCCUUUCAGCUAAGAACAGGAAACUGAGGCUACAAUUUGCACAAGCUCAUCGAAAUUGGACAAUAGAAGAUCGGAAAAACGUUGCCUGGUCUGAUGAGUCUCGAUUUCUGCUGCGACAUUCGGAUGGUAGGGUCAGAAUUUGGCGUCAACAACAUGAAAGCAUGGAUCCAUCCUGCCUUGUAUCAACGGUUCAGGCUGGUGGUGGUGGUGUCAUGGUGUGGGGAAUAUUUUCUUGGCACUCUUUGGGCCCCUUGGUACCAAUUGAGCAUCGUUGCAACGCCACAGCCUACCUGAGUAUUGUUGCUGACCAUGUCCAUCCCUUUAUGACCACAAUGUACCCAACUUCUGAUGGCUACUUUCAGCAGGAUAAUGCGCCAUGUCAUAAAGCUGGAAUCAUCUCAGACUGGUUUCUUGAACAUGACAAUGAGUUCACUGUACUCAAAUGGCCUCCACAGUCACCAGAUCUCAAUCCAAUAGAGCAUCUUUGGGAUGUGGUGGAACAGGAGAUUCGCAUCAUGGAUGUGCAGCCGACAAAUCUGCGGCAACUGUAUGAUGCCAUCAUGUCAAUAUGGACCAAGCUCUCUGAGGAAUGCUUCCAGCACCUUGUUGAAUCUAUGCCACGAAGAAUUGAGGCAGUUCUGAAGGCAAAAGGGGGUCCAACCCGUUACUAGCAUGGUGUACCUAAUAAAGUGGCCGGUGAAUGUAUAACUCAUACAACCCAACUUCCAAAAUUCGAGACUCAGCAGUUCAAGGGGAACAAGUAAACAGCAUGAGAAGCUUUUUAUUUUGCAGAAACACAAGAUCAGUUACAUGACACGUUGAAGUUCAAUAAAGCUUUGGAAGAUUUUAUGUAAACAAUAGUAGAUGGGUGAAAUUCUGUCCAAAGACCUGUCCUGGGGGACAUAUGUUGAUUUGUUGACCUCCUGGGACUCGAAUUUUGCAUCGUGGCUGUCAUUACAUGAGAGACCAGUAGUGGCCAUGUUCGGACUUAAAGCUGUUUUCACACAUGCAUUGAGAAAAAAUCCAGAAAAUACCAGGAGUUCUGACCCUAAAUUGGACCUGACUUUGCUGUUCCAAAACUGUGUCUCUGUAUAAGGCUGUAAACCAGAGUAGUUUUGCUGUCAAGUUGGAUAUUUGAUUAUGGGGUACGAAGGGGAAUGACCUGAUUUGAAUUCAGACUCAAGUGGCCAUUUAUGUGCCCUUGACAUUUGGUUCAUUGUUCAGCCCAGACGUUUCUGUUUGAUGCAGAUCUGACUGAAAUGAAGACUGCCAGGCAUACUUGUUUUAUGCCUUCAUGUGCUUAUGAAAAGUGAUUCAAUUUCCAUUUCCAUAAAAAGGAACAAAAGUUUCCUCAUUUAUUUCCUUUUUUUCUUUUUAUAUUUGUCCUUGAAAAUAUCUCCAUCCUUUUUAUUUCACCCUGUUUAUUUUACACAAACUCUUGUUUCCUAGUCUUCCAAACUCUGGCAGGAUAUCAUAGAUAAAUAAAAAGCUGUGUACUGAUUGCAUGCCCAGAAGGACCUCACAGGAAUAAUUUGUCAUUGAUAUGAUUUGAGUCAUUGGCUGUUUACACUGCAAAUUCCAAGGCAAUGAAAGAUAUCACAAAGGUAUCACAAUAUUUAAUUUCACUUUCUCAGUUGCUCAGUAGUAAGACCAUGGUUUGCCAGACAAGUCUAGGGUAGCUCCAAAACCACAACAAUUGUGGACAAGAAAAAAGGGAGGCUGGUAGAACAAACAUAGUCCUGUGGUCAGAGGGAACCACACACUGAGGCCAUGUGGGACGUGAGGAGAGCUUGUUAAAGCACCCAGAAUAAUGCAUGUGGGAUUAUGGACACCACUGUGUUUACUGAUCCACAGACAACCUGUAACAGCUAACAGACAUGGCUUACUCAUGAAGAUUCUUCACAAUAAUGUUCACACAUUUCUCAGUUUAUGCCCCUCUGAAACUAAUAACUGACAACUCGCUAUUCGACUGUUACAUAAAGAGCAGCAGUGGUUAAAAAAAUCAUGCUCUGUCUGACUGAUUAUUUAGGGAUGAGAGUCUUGCAUGAAAAUGUAUGACAGAAUUUCUGAGAACCUGAAUAAUCAGCUUACAUUGGAGCUAAGUAGGAACAGAGGGUGGUGGACUGGUGUUUGCUUUCCAUUUUCAGCCCUGGCACAGAUUCAGGCCACCUUGAAGAAUCUGAAAACCAUUAUCCAGGACUGUUGGUCAAAAGUGCAGACUGUAUAGGAUAUCACGAUGCUGUGCCUCACAGUGAGACGAAGUGAGAAGGAUGAAGAUGGAGGAGGAGAAAGGAGAAUGGGGAAGGGAGGUAUCAUGGAUGAGAUAUCGUGCGAAAGCGAGAGGAAUUGAGACUAACAGAAGUUCAACAUGCCUUCCUGCGUAGACAUCUCAAUUACAUCCAGCUCCCCUUGUCAUUCAUGUGGAUGUGUUUGGUUUCACAGAAACAAAGGCAUCCUCACAAAGUGAUGUAAUUCAGAGCGGCCGUAUGUCCAUCUGAAGUUACCUUCAUGGUUGUCUGACACAUCACCUCUUGCAUGCAACAGCAGAUUAGGUAUAGACAGGCCUGUAGACAGACCUUUCCCCUCUAUUGUCUCUUCCACACGCAGGGGAUGAACAUGCAUAAAGAAGGGUCACGCACAUGAAGACAACAUCAAUCCCUCUCUCUGAUGGUUCUGAGCAAGCUGCUGACUGAUAUGUCUUUAAAGGAGCCUGUAAUGAGGAUAGGCAUGUGUAAAUGUAGGCCUUUGAGUGUGACCUGAUAUGUGGCUCUUAAAUGUGGGCUGUAGCUGGUUUUGUCCUCAUAAAUAAGUGGCUGUGUCCGGGUAACAGGCCAGGCCGUGCCAUUGCAACUCGAUCAUUUAGGUAAUCUGUUUGCUGUAGAGCUUUUAGCUGUUUUUAGUAUUUUUAGACAGUGGUAGCUCAACAAAUGUUGUGUGUUUAUUUAACUGUGCCCAAUAAGAGAAGAUAAAAGAACUUUAUCAAUCCCCAAAGAGAAAUUCAAUACUGUACCUGUUGCCAAGGAUGACUACAAAACAAAACUGGAGUAAGCUGAAGGAAUGACUCACGUCAAAGUAUAUAAACUCGAUGCUCAUACAUACUUUAAUUUGUCCUGCUCUGUGUCUGCAUCCAUUUAGCUUCAAUCACUUACAGAGGCUGUCAGUCUCAAUCAGGCACACAGUGAAAGUUAAUUAUUACUAAACACUCGAACAUCAAAGACGGGAAUAAACUUAUCUGACAUACAUGAAACUGAAAAAAUCAUAUUAUUCACUGAAUACAUAAAAAUACAGCCCCCACCCCCAAGAAUGAUAUCAUAUAAGAAUAUCACAUAUGUAAAGUUUUUACCUGUUUUAUACUCAUUUUUCAGAUUUAUUAUGCUCUGAACAGUUUUGAGCACAUGCUCUUUGUACGACAUAAUUAGUGAAUGACCACCAAGCCUUUGUCUAUAAACUAGAAAAGCUCAAUCAGUAGGACAAAAUAGCUGUAAAUAUUGUGUUUUUGUGAUGGAUGAUUUCAGCAACAGUAGGAGGAUUGUCCAAAACCGGUUCAAAAACUUGUGAGAGUUUUUCAAAGUGGGCUGAGGCUGGUGUCAGUGCAUCAGGGGGCCAUCACACUCAGAGGUCCUCAGGAAAGGAGCUACAAAUAUCACAUUCCUAAUAUCAAUGUCAAGUCUCUCCUGGCAGCGUCAAGAGCAGGGGUUCCUAGGCUAAAGAGAGGGAAAACUGGACUGUUGCUCAGUGGUCCAAAGUCCUUUCUCCAGACGGAGACAAGUUUGUCAUGUUUACUUGGAUACUGAGGUCAUCGAGUCUGGAAACAGAAAAGUGGGGAGGCACAGAAUCCAAAGUGUUUGAAGUUUUCUGUGAAUUUCCACAGAUUUGGAUGAUUUGAGGUGUUCUAUCAUCUGCUGGUGUUAGUUUACUGUGUUUUAUCAUGUUUGAAGUCAACGUAGCCGUCUACCGGGAAAUUUUAGAGCACUUCAUAUUUAACAAGUGAUGAUUCCCUCCAUCCCAAAAAAGGCAAGUGCAGAGCAGUCUCCCCUAUGUUUUCAUUCUUUUUUUCAUAGUUUGACCACCUGCAACUUGCAUAUGUCAUGUUAGUGCCAGUUAAGACAUAAAGUAGACUGAUUUCCUCCAUGCCACACCACACUGAUGCGGUCAUUAAUGGUUAAGGAGCCUUAACCAAGCAUUGAGUGUGUAAAUUAAUUCAGAAAUUGGAUAUUUCAGUGUUUUAAAUCCUUUAUCUGGUUGAUCUUGUUAAAUAUUGUAACGAUUUGAGAUACUUCAUUUCUGAUUUUCUCAAGUUAUAUUCCAUAAUCAUUAAAAUAACAACAAACAAGGAUUGAAUUAUUACAUUGUGCAUGUAAAGAUCACAUAGAAUAUAUUAUUUUUGAUUAAAUUAGCAUAAUAAUUAAGUUUUCCUGAUAUAUAUAUAUAUUUUUUUUGGGGGGGUGCACCUGUAAUUAGUGUAACAGACCAUAUAUUUCCAUUUAUUCCUUUUCUCUCUGUAGCAGCUCCAGUGAUGGAUUAUAAAUGAAUGUUUCCAAUUUCAGUCAUUUGUUCUCUGUGUAGUCUCUGAUCUGACAUUGUCCAGAGAUUCUCAGAGAAUGGUAAAAGUAUCUAAUUUUGACUUUAAGAGGUAAAUUAUCCCUCAUUAAUGAGAAAACAAUAUCUUUUCAAAUAUUGGAUCAUUAAAUGAGCUCAUUCCAAAGUAAUCAUCCUUUAACAGCGAUCGUGACAGAUCCUCAGCAGUCUACCUCUGCCUCUCACGCUAACACAUUGAUGUCAUUUAAAGUCUCCUUUCCUAAAGGAUAGUUUUUUGUAGACACCUUAGGAGCAACAUACAUUAGUGAGAACAAACGAGGGCAAAAUGUAAGAAAAUAAGACUUUAUUUAACACAGAGGUUCGGUCCCAUAAAUGAGGAAUUUCACUUCAUAUUUAACAAGUGAUGAUUCCCUCCAUCCCAAAAAAGGCAAGUGCAGAGCAGUCUCCCCUAUGUUUUCAUUCUUUUUUUCAUAGUUUGACCACCUGCAACUUGCAUAUGUCAUGUUAGUGCCAGUUAAGACAUAAAGUAAAUGAAAACCAGACCUGUGCUUUGGGGUCUAGUGAGUCUAGUAAGGGGGACAUUAAAGCCUUGAGUUUCCUCCAGGGGAAAUGUGUUUGCCUGUUUUCCCUUUACUGCUCAGUGCUUGCAUGCUAAGCUGUAAUUUUCAGGCUCUGGUGUGUGUGUCUGUGUUUUUGUGUGUGUUAGAGGCCAGUGGUGGCGAGCUCUGAGUAGAAGAGACGUUUGUGCAUGUGUAUCUAUUAUGUGUGUGUGUGCGUGUUUGUGUGUCUGCUUUUAUCUGGAUGUCAUCAUAACCACAGAAAUCAGGGCCUGAUACUAUCUACCCCUACCCCCUUCUUCUAUCCCCAUCCAGAGUCACGAGAGCCGAGGGUCUCCUUUGGCCACACACACUUGACACACACAAACACACACAGACAGAUGCUGACACUGACACAUAGACACUGCAUCAUACUUCCACAUUUUGUAGGUAAACAUCUCCAGAUUGGUGAAGCAGGAUGGAAUUCCCGCCUUUUGUGGGAAAUGUGCCCAGAACCAUUUGUAAACCCUCUUCUCUGCCGCUUCCUAACUCCUUACAGAUUGUAAAACUCUGAUUUCUAUAGUAGGGUAACUGCAAUGGAGUUCUCAACCCUUCUUAAUGUGGGACAGAAAAGAACCAAUGCAAUCUUGCAUUUAUCAUAAUAUGUUUACCUUUCAUGUGCUGGAACUCCAUGUUAGUCCCAUCUAUUCAUUUGCUGUGUAUUUUACAAACAUACACACGAGGCUAUAGCCUGUUGCCUCUGUGUAAAUAUGUGGUUUGCAGACUUCAGCAUAACCCAGACAGUUUACAUGUAGACAACACUAUGAAUGUUAUAGAUUUACUGUAUUGUCUUGUAUGUUAUGCAUUAAAGCCUUGAGUUUCCUCCAGGGGAAAUGUGUUUGCCUGUUUUCCCUUUACAAGCUUAAAAGCCUACAAUCACAUGAAGCGUUGGCAGUCAUCCAGCUCUUACUUUAGUCAUGGCUCAACCUGAGCCACAUGCCUCAUCUCAAUCAGUAAUAGAUCCUGAUAUGUGCAAUAACAUAAGUUUUAUCAUACUUAGCAUAGAUCUCAUGCUUUAAAAUAUAAAUUGUUGUGGCAAUCCAGUUUGAGUUCAUUAAAAUGUCUGCAUGCAGAGCGUCAACCGCAGGCCCUGGUAUCUUAAACACCCGCCUCAGCUUAAAUCCAGCACAUGACCUCAACCUGUCUUCAACCAGUCUUGCCCUCACUUCAACUAUUCUCCAAGCUUUUCCAGUUAUUUAGCUUCAUCACAGGUUCAGCAGCUUCAAAUGAAACCACAGAGAAGGAAAAAUACUGAGGUUUUUCUUUUUUCAUUUAUCUUUCUUCAUUUAUUCUCAUCCAAAUGUUGUUAACAACGCCAUCAUCUGCACAUGGGGGCACAACUGUUGUCCUGAUGUGAGUUUGAUGAUGCCUCUUGUUUAAUGCCUCUGUUAACGAUGAUCUGGGAGGAUUUCUGUGACUGUGAGUUAACAUUUGCCUCAUUUGCAGCUGUGGCCAGAGUGUUAACAGGUAUGUGUGUCAUCUAUGUGGCAGCGUCUCAUCAAGUUUGGGAAAUGAAAUAUCAAAAGCGGUUUAUCUGUCUCCGGGGAUGUCGUGCAACAGGGUGAGACACAACUUACACAGGAACACUGAUGCGCCAACAAGCAGACAGGCACACGCACGCACACACACACACACACACACACACACACACACACACACACACAAACACACACACACGCAGGGAUACUUGCUGUCUCAAACGUAAACAAAGCUAGAGUAGAUAAAUGGUCUUCAAUCCACACUAUGAUAAAGACAUUUUCCUCCCACUCAAAUGCCUUCUGUCUUUCCUAGAACUGUAAUUUGUUGCCCUUUAACACUGAGGGCACUCAGAGACACGAUAAGGUACAUCAAAGUGAUCUCUCAACAAGGACCCUGCUUCUAUGCAAUGGAAAGUUACUAUUUGUGACUGCCUGUGGAAAAUCUCCCAUGCCUCCCCAGUAGGAGACCACAAGUCUCAGCUCACAAUAUGGGCGACUCACUAAUAGAGGAAUAAACAAAGUAGAUCCUAAUGGAUGAAUGUGAGGGCUUUUGUUUGAUCCAGGGGAUGCUCAUAGACUUGAGCCCGAGACAUGAGAGCCGAGAGUGGUGACAACAGGUCAGACACACCUCUGCUGUAUAUACAAAGAAGAUUCAGACACUGUAAUAUCCGUUGUAAAGCAAUGUAACCUCAUGCAACUGUGCAUACAACUUAAGCUCUUCCUCAAAAUCAAAACCAUGGGCUUUUUAUUACGUUCACCUCUCACCAUUGUUUGUUCGCCUUUAGCCCGAGCGACCAGAGAGGAGUUUGCAAUACGUGGGAUUCUGUGAAAUAUCAUUGAAUAAACAAACGAUUGCAUCAUGUGCUGCAAGACUAACACAGGUUAAACCAACUGUAAAGGCUAUACAAAUUGUUUGCAAAGCUUCAUUUCCUACAAGUGCAAGACACCAGAGUGUACGACACCAGAUUUUCCUGUAGUUGCUGCAUUUUCAGUCUUGUCUGGCAACUCUCCAAUGCCUGGUGUUUUCUCAAUAUCUAGUGAGUCACCGUAAGGGCAGCAAGCCCAAUAAAGCCAUGACAGCUGCAAACAAGAAACGGAUGGCAAGAGAUAGGAAAUCAAAAUACAAUGUUAAAUUUGCAUGAAGUGAAGAAGACGGUAAUCCCCAUUUAAAAGGCAUGCUGUGAGCCUUCAGGAAUAGGUUUGGUAUUUGAUCUAUAUUUACUGUAUGUGGAAGCUGAAGACACAUGCAAGGCUUUCAACGGGAGCAGAGUUAUGUGCAAGCAGAGGUUUUAUUACUCCACUUCUGACAAGCACUUUCACAGCUGUGGCUCCUCUGAGCUUGGCUUGUCAGUCAAGGGUGUAAAUCACUCUGCUUACUCUGACAGGUCAGCAGCAUGACAACAGAGGGUGAGUUUGUAGACAUGGACUCAAUCUGUGUAAACCAGCGUCCUGUCUGCCUAAAGGAUUUGUCUCUUGUUAAUGAAAGCAUCUUCUGUCAAACUGGUACCCUUUGUGGUCCUCUUGCUUUUUAUGAAUGUUAAGUCAAAACCGCCAGUCCCAUAGCCUCAGCCUAGGCAUUUCAAAUAUGUAAAAGCAUCUAAAUAUACCCUGUCUCCUGGUUUGAUUGUCUAAACCAAACUUACAGGGAUGAGUGCAGCAGAAGAGAGAUAGACACAAAGCAACUAAAGAGGGGAGAUUGUAGGAGAUACUAAGGGUAUUUUUCAGAGUCCUACUCCACCAGAAACCUGUUCAGUAACACAUGUUUUUACUUUCAUCUGCAAAAGAGAAUAAUAAAAACAGAGCAGCUUUGAGCUGUUAGCCCGCCAUCCUAUUCUCAGGGGAAAGUCACAUCAGCAAGCGUGGGUGGGAUAUGAUGCUCUGUGCUGCAGGGAAAGCUUACACUGGCUGGACUGCGUGACUUGUUUGCAGUAUUGAAACAACAAUAAACUUUUGCAAACUUUCCCUGCUCUCAAACAAGUAAUAGCAUGAGCUCUAUAAUUGUAUGGAGGAGAUUGCUCUGCAAUUCAAAAAGGAAUCUCAGCAACAGAAACCACAGAAAUGUCUGACUUUUAAUCGGCUACAUUUUUGAAUGAGUGACAGAAGUGGAGUCGUUAUUAAAGGAAUAGUUCAACAUUGUAAGAGACAUGCUUCGUUGCAGUAACUUUGCAGAGUCAUCUUGCUCUGGCUUCCAGCUGUGGAUUUCAGAAAUAUAGUAUAAAAUGAUGUCUUAUUUUUUGUACUAUUUAGAAAUAUUUAAUAACUCUUGUGCAGUUUAGAAAUUUGAAACCCUCAGAUGAAACCAGGGUAGUUUUUUUCCCCAAAUACAUUCUGUCUUCAUUCCACCUGAGAUUAGCUGCCUGCUGGCACUGGCUUUGUAUUUACUUUGCAGACAUGACAGGGAUUUUAGUGUUCCAUCUAAGUCUUGGCAAUAAUAGAAUAACAGUCCCACAAAAUGUCAAUGUAUUCCUUUCAGUUUAAGUUUUUCAUAAUGUUAUGCAGAAAGCAGACUUUGAUUGGAUGGGCCUUCUCUUUUUUUGAUGUUAGUUUGUUAGAUGUCCAGCCAAGAUCUCCUUUUUUUUUACUCCCUGCUAUUGUCGUUUGAUUGUUUUGUGCACUGUGCCCAAGCCUACCCAAAAUAUAAUGAUAAUUUUGACUGCACAGAGUUUUUCUAAAGGCUGUACAUUUUCAAUAUAUACAAAAUCGACAAAUAUCUCAUCACCCCCCAAUGUCCAACCCACAUACCCCACUCAAGGCAAAACCACACACAUACCACAAUAUCCUCGCGUGUAAGGCAGCAGGGGUGCGUGUGGAUUUGGCAGCAGUGGCUGUUUCAGCUCUUAGAAGUGGGAUUUCAUCUGUAAUAACAGCCCCACUUGAUGGAAGUUGUUGCAUAAAAUUGAGACACGCUCCUACAUACCUUUUAAAAAUGAAAACAGCUUAAAAAAAAUUGAAAGAGAAAAACAAACCGGCUAGUCACGCAUCUUGCACAAGUUGAGAAGUGAGAGCAGCUACGAUGACCUCAGGGUAGGUUGUACAAGGUUGGCAACUGCACCGGUUCUCAGGGUGUUUAACAGCAUCUGCAUGCACAGGCACACAUGAUUAAGCAGGUGUGUAUAUUAGAUCAUAAACUUAAAUAUACUAUGUAUAAAUUUCAAUGUGUGUGGCUGCAUACAUUUGUGCAUGUGUAAGUAAUGAUAUACAUGAGAGUUGGCUGCAUUACAGUGAAGGUUAGCACACUUUUGUGAGCACUUUUGUGGUGAAGCCAUUUGUGUUGAAUAUACAAGCCACCAGCCUGCUGAGAGAGAUACAUAAGCUUUUGCUGUCAGAUCCCUUGCUGGAGACUUUAAAAAGACUUGUUUCAUAUAGAGAACCUGCCAGGAUUAAGAUUACAUUAACUCCAUUAAGGUAGUUAAGUUAAGCAUCAAACAUUUUUUGGCAAUGAAAAGCUAAGUGGCUCAUAAAAUGCAGUAAGCCCAUCAAAGUCAAGGGGAUAAUGUCAACUUUCUAUUUUUUAUCAAAUUAAUCUUAAGAAUUAUCUAAAGGGUGAAAGGCCAUUUAGGGGCAUUUGUAAGACCUCACCUCACACUGCCUGAUCCUCGAAUAAUGUUUGUAGGUUUGCAUUGCAAGAUUAAGCAAGCUGAAGUUUAGUUUAGUAUGCCUUCUCCCUGAUUGUUGAGUUAAGUCUUUUUUGCAGCUAAGUUGAUGACUUGAUGAGAGUUAUGUUAAGAUUGGUGCACUCCUUUGCUCUUCAGUUAGUAUGCUAUCAGUCCACAACUGCUCGAUAAUGCACACUAUAGAGAUUAUUGGUCUGUUGAUGGAUCAGUCAGACUGUGUAUUUCAAGUUUGUGAUAAUGCCAUAUGUGCUGAAAAGGCCUGUGAGCCAAACCAGGCUGCUAUUGUGUGUACGUGGCUUUUGUCCCAGACCCACAGCUUUAUG